rnacentral:rRNA from 1 species
UACGUAGGGUGCGAGCGUUGUCCGGAAUUAUUGGGCGUAAAGGGCUCGUAGGCGGUUUGUCACGUCGGGAGUGAAAACUCAGGGCUUAACCCUGAGCCUGCUUCCGAUACGGGAAGACUAGAGGUAUGCAGGGGAGAACGGAAUUCCUGGUGUAGCGGUGAAAUGCGCAGAGUAUCAGGAGGAACACCGGUGGCGAAGGCGGUUCUCUGGGCAUUACCUGACGCUGAGGAGCGAAAGUGUGGGGAGCGAACAGG